rnacentral:lncRNA from 1 species
AUCCCAGUUGUCCCCAUUGAUGUCCCCAUGUCCCCAACCGCCCCCCUCUCUUUGUCCCCCUUCCCACUGACGUGUCCCCGUGUCCCCCCCACAGCGGGCGCGGGGGCAGAAGCCCGGGGGGAGCUGGUGACGCGGCUCCAACGCAAGGACGGGCUGGGCUGGACCUGGGUCUACGCCCGACUGCGCCCCGAGGGACCCGCCCUGCUGGCCCACAACUUUGUCAUCAGCGAGGCCGAGGCCUGGUGUCUGAGGCAGCAGUUGGCGGCCGAGGCCCCCCCGGGACCCCCCGAACCCUUCGGGCCCGGCCUUGACUUCCCCGGCGCCGGCAUCGGAGCUGGUGGGGACCUCGGUGGCCCCGGCAUCAGCCUCGGCGUUGGAGCUGGUCUCGGAGAUGACGUUGGGGUCAACGUUGGCGUCAGCCUUGGCCUUGGGGUCAACGUUGGGUGCGGCGUUGGAGCCGACGUUGGACACGGACUUGGGGUCAAUGUUGACCCUGGUCUUGGAGCUGGUGCUGGACCUGAUGUUGGAGCUGGUCUUGGAGCUGGUCUUGGAGCCAACAUGGGGCCUGGUCUUGACACCAACAUGGCACCUGGUCUCGGAGCUGCCGUCAGACACGGUCUUGGAGGCAACGUUGGGGCCAACGUUGACCCUGGUCUUGGAGUGAACGUUGGACGUGGGCUUGGAGAUGGUGUUGGACACGGUCUGGGUGCUGAUGGUGGCACCGGAGUGGGGAUGGGCGUAGGAGCCGGCAUCAGGGUGGACGUUGGCCUCGGGGUGGCAGCCGGCGCCGACGUUGGCCCAAACCUCGGGGCUGACAUUGGAGCUGCUCUGGGAGCCGGCGCCAACGGAGAAGACGUUGGAGCUGGUCUCCAAGCCAACGGCGAAGGAGACGGUCUCGGAGCCGGCGUCGCGCUCAGCGUCGGGGCCAACGUGGGGCCCGCUCUGGGUGGUGGCAUCAGAGCCAGCGUCGGGUUGGGCAUCGGGGCCAACGUGGGGCCCGCUCUUCCAUCCGACGUGGGUGCUGGCGUCGGACUCGCCGUCGGAGCCAACGUUGGUUCUUCUCUUGGAUCUGCUGGUGGACUUGGCCUUGGGGCCAACGUUGGCUCCGCCCUUUCAUCUGGUGUUGGAUCCGGCGUCGGACUCACCAUCGGAGCCAACGUUGGUUCUUCUCUUGGAUCUGCUGGUGGACUUGGCCUUGGGGCCAACGUUGGCUCCGCCCUUUCAUCCGGUGUUGGAUCCGGCGUCGGACUCACCGUCGGAGCCAACAUUGGUUCUUCUCUUGGAUCUAAUGUCGGACUCGCCGUUGGAGCCAACGUUGGUUCUUCUCUUGGAUCCGGUGUUGGCUCCAGUCUUGGAUCCGGCGUCGGACUCACCGUCGGAGCCAACGUUGGUUCUUCUCUUGGUUCAAGUGUUGGACUCACCGUCGGAGCUGGCGUCGGAGCCAACGUUGGCUCUUCUCUUGGAACUGGUGUUGGACUUGCCUCUGGAGCCAACGUUGCCUCCAGUCUUGGAUCCGGUGUUGGACUCACCAUCGGAGCCAAUGUCGGUUCUUCUCUUGGAUCAAGCGUUGGACUCUCCGUUGGAGCCAACGUUGGUUCUUCUCUUGGAUCCGGUGUUGGACUCGCCGUUGGAGCUGGUGUUGGAGCCAACGUUGGUUCUUCUCUUGGAUCUGGUGUUGGACUCUCUGUUGGAGCCAACGUUGGUUCUUCUCUUGCAUCAAACAUUGGACUCUCCGUUGGAGCCAACGUUGGUUCUUCUCUUGGAUCCGGUGUUGGACUCGCCGUUGGAGCUGGUGUUGGAGCCAACGUUGGUUCUUCUCUUGGAUCUGGUGUUGGACUUUCCGUUGGAGCCAACGUUGGUUCUUCUCUUGGAUCAAGUGUUGGACUCUCCGUUGGAGCCAACGUUGGUUCUUCUCUUGGAUCAAGUGUUGGACUCUCCGUUGGAGCCAACGUUGGUUCUUCUCUUGGAUCAAGCGUUGGACUCAACGUUGGAGCCAACGUUGGCUCUUCCCUCGCAUCCGACGUCGACGUUGAGGUUGGACUCGGCGUCGGAGCCGACGUUGGCUCUUCCCUCUCAUCCGACGUCGCAUCCGGCAUCGGCCUCGGCCUCGGGGCCAACGUUGGUCCCUCUCCCUCAUCCGACGUCGCCGGCGGCUCCGCUUUGGGAUUCGCCGUCGGAGCCGCUCUCGGAGCCAACGUCGGCCUUUCCCUCGCGACCACCAAUGAGGAAGCUCCUCUUGGACUGGGGGGCGGAGCCAAUAUCGGCGCCGAUGGUGUCCCAUCGGCCGUCGGAGCCACCCUUGGCCUUGGCCCCACCCUUGACCCUCCCCUUGGCCCCGCUCUUGGAACCACCGGUCUCGGGACCACCCUUGGCCCCUCCUUGGGUCCCCCCAUGGGGGCCGCCGUGGGGUUGGCCGUGGGCCCCCCCCGUUUAGGUUCGGCCUUGGGGGUCCCCGAAACCCCGGGGGGAGCCACCGAAACUUGGACCCCCCCUUACACCCCCCGCCAAGCUCNNNNNNNNNNAUUGUCCCCAAAUCGAGGGACCGAGGCACGAUGUGACUUGAUGUCCCCAAUGAACCCCCCCCUGAAGUCAACGGGGACAUCGGGGCUUGGUGGCCCCCGUGACCCCAACGAUGGUGACCCCAACGAUGACCCCAACGAUGACCCCAACGAUGACACAACCCCCCCACCCCCCAAAAAAAUUGUCCCCAAAUCGAGGGACCGAGGCACGAUGUGACUUGAUGUCCCCAAUGAACCCCCCCCUGAAGUCAACGGGGACAUCGGGGCUUGGUGGCCCCCGUGACCCCAACGAUGGUGACCCCAACGAUGACCCCAACGAUGACCCCAACGAUGACACAACCCCCCCACCCCCCAAAAAAAUUGUCCCCAAAUCGAGGGACCGAGGCACGAUGUGACUUGAUGUCCCCAAUGAACCCCCCCCUGAAGUCAACGGGGACAUCGGGGCUUGGUGGCCCCCGUGACCCCAACGAUGGUGACCCCAACGAUGACCCCAACGAUGACCCCAACGAUGACACAACCCCCCCACCCCCCAAAAAAAUUGUCCCCAAAUCGAGGGACCGAGGCACGAUGUGACUUGAUGUCCCCAAUGAACCCCCCCCUGAAGUCAACGGGGACAUCGGGGCUUGGUGGCCCCCGUGACCCCAACGAUGGUGACCCCAACGAUGACCCCAACGAUGACCCCAACGAUGACACAACCCCCCCACCCCCCAAAAAAAUUGUCCCCAAAUCGAGGGACCGAGGCACGAUGUGACUUGAUGUCCCCAAUGAACCCCCCCCUGAAGUCAACGGGGACAUCGGGGCUUGGUGGCCCCCGUGACCCCAACGAUGGUGACCCCAACGAUGACCCCAACGAUGACCCCAACGAUGACACAACCCCCCCACCCCCCAAAAAAAUUGUCCCCAAAUCGAGGGACCGAGGCACGAUGUGACUUGAUGUCCCCAAUGAACCCCCCCCUGAAGUCAACGGGGACAUCGGGGCUUGGUGGCCCCCGUGACCCCAACGAUGGUGACCCCAACGAUGACCCCAACGAUGACCCCAACGAUGACACAACCCCCCCACCCCCCAAAAAAAUUGUCCCCAAAUCGAGGGACCGAGGCACGAUGUGACUUGAUGUCCCCAAUGAACCCCCCCCUGAAGUCAACGGGGACAUCGGGGCUUGGUGGCCCCCGUGACCCCAACGAUGGUGACCCCAACGAUGACCCCAACGAUGACCCCA